rnacentral:lncRNA from 1 species
AAACUAGAGCCCCGUUUCCUCCCCUACCCUCCAUCCAACCCGAGAGCGUCUACGUCGAGCACAUGGAGAAGAAAGAGUGGUAGAAGGUUCCGCCGGCAAGGAUCUUGCCCAUGUUGCCGCUCGGGAUUCAAUUAGGGACCUGGAGGGUUUCGUCCUGGUGUGGGGUCGACGCACCUUGCUUCGCUGGGUGAGAAUUUGGGAUGAAGGUCCGAACAAUUGAUCGUCGGAGGCCGAUUCCGCCGCUGGACCGCAUCCCAUCGUGGCCGGUCCUCACCACCACUUAAUCACUGGUAUGAUCACGUUUCCAUAAUUCGCCAUCGACCCCUCUUCUUGUAGCAUCCGUCCAAUCGCGAUUUGGGGCACGGGCGUGCUGAUUCAUCGUGCUGCGGCGAGCUCACCGGUGGUGCUCCGGUUGCCUUCUCCCUGUCGCAACCGGGAGGUGGGAGACGAUCCAUUGGCCGUUGAUCCCCUAGCAAGCGGUUAGGAUUAGAUAAUGGGAGGACCGUUGAUCCGGGGAUGUGAGGUGGAGAAUCAAUCUGGCGUAGCCCUUCGCGCGUGCAGAUCCGGGUCGUGGAUCUGUGAUCUGAUUGGCUAGAGCGGUUAAAGCUGGUGAGAGUGUCUUCUGGCCGUUGAUUGCGGAUCCAUCGGCUCUGGUAGCAUACCGGUUGGAUUCAACGGCAGAUCUAAUCUAGAGCGUUGGUUUUUAAUCGUGCGACUGGGGCGCAUCCAUACCCCUUCGAUCCCGUACAUUUGUAUAAGAGCCCCUUGGCUUCAAGAUAAUAAACCCACCAUCCAUCCCUGUGUAGUAGAAUUACAAAUGAAUCCCAGAAACUUACAAAGCAGCCCUGUGCUAUUAAGGAAUUGUGUCCCCAGUCCAGAAUUAUUAGGGGUAUUCAUAAUUAAAUCAGAAAAUGAAUUUUAAUAUAAAAAUAAAUCCAGAAAAUUAUUUAAUUCAUAGAAAAUCUAUUCUAACUCCGAAUUGAACCAUUCUAGUGGCAUUAAUUUUGUUUUAAUAUUGUUCAUCACCUAGUACCUCUGUUUAGCCAUGAAACUUAGAUUAAAAAUUAUACACCUAGUUUCUUUUCAUCUACCACUUAAAAUUUCGGAAAAUCAUAAUUAAUUCAUUUUAACCCUGUUUUAAUCUGUUCAAAUUGCAUUAGCUUCAUAAUAAAAUUGCUCAGGCAUUAGUGACACUGUUUUGUCAUGUUCUUAAAAUAAUUAAAUACAUAUACUUAUAGGGUUAACUAUCCUAGCCCAAUGAAAAGAGGUAUUUUAAUUUGGUUCCUCUAAAAUUGACUAAAGUAUGAUCUUUAAGUAGAUUAUAAAUUAGAGUAAAAGUUGAGUAGUCAUAUCUUUAAUAUCCUUACUCAUAUAGUUUACAUAAUCAACAUAGAAUAUAGUUUUACAUACUUAAUCUUCAAUAUCUUCAAUAAAUCAUAACUCCUUAACCGUAGCUCCGAAUUUAAUGGUUCUCGAACCCACGAUCUCGUAGCGACGCGUAGAUUAUUAUUACGUAGUUUAUUCUUAUGUUUGGUGUGAUGUUAAUUUUACCUAUACCAUUUUUGUCUAUAUUGCUACGAUUAGCGCGAGGUCACGAGUCAUCUGAAGAGCAAGUUGGUACCUGGAAUCUCAAGUCCCAGGCAAGUUGUGCCCUUAAUCACUUCUUUUUACCCAGUCAUGUUCUGAUUAAUGAUAAUGAUCUGCAUAGGUUAAUUUUGAUGGGAUCCAAUAGGUUACCCUAGUUUGACUAUCUUUAUACCUUGUUUACCACUGAAGUUUUGGGUAGUACCUGCUAUUGCUUUAUGUGGUUUUGGGUAUAGAGAUACACAUUAUUCAUGAUUAUACUUUUAUUAUCAGUUGUUAUUUACUAUUCAUGUUAAGAUCAUUAUGUUAAUUGGAACAUGGAGCGACCACCCAGGAAAACAGUGCUACCACAAGGGUGGUAUGGGAUGCCCUUGGCUGACUAAUUAGGAAAGCUAAUGGAGGACUACCUUACCCGAAAUGGGCAAGGACAGUAGGGGAGUGGUCAGUGUAGGGAGGCCCUUGGGUUUAUUUUGUUGCGAUGGCGGUCGGGCGAGGAGUCCCUGCAAUGGAGCUUCCUAUAAACUGUAGCGGGUUUUCUGAAGCUAGUGGAACUUUGUAAAGGCCUCGUAGUGUUACCCUGCCUCGCCUCCUCAGUAGAGUUGUAUGGGAUUGGCCUUCUCUUGGCAUAUGGGUAACAUGACUUGUGGGUAAAGAUGUGCAACCUCUGCAGAGUGUAAAGCUGGUAUAUCAGCCGUGCUCACGGUCAUGAGCAGCUCGGACCGUCACAUGAUUAAUUUAUGGAACUAAAUUCAAUUUGUCAUAUACAUUGCAUUGCGAGUGUUGUUAUUACUUUUGUUCUACUACUUAAUUGGGUUGGUAUUUACUUAUACUUAGUAAUUGCUAAUAAAAUUUUGACCAAAUUUAAAAGCAAUGCUUAGCUUCAACCAUCCUCAUUGGUAAGCCUUACACUUCACAUGAGCUCCCACCUUUGGUGAGUUCAUGCACAUUAUUCCCCACAACUUGUUGAGCGAUGAACGUAUGUGAGCUCACUCUUGCUGUCUCACACCCCCCAUAGGUUAAGAACAGGUACAACAUGAUGAGACGCAUGGAGGAUGCUGUGAUGAGUACGUGAGUGGUCUAGGGCAUCGUCUCCCAGUCAACUUUGGGUUGCUGGAUCGUUGUCUCCUUAUGAUGUAAUUAUUUAUUUAUUUUGUACAAAACUCCUAUUAUAUAGUAAAGAUGUGACAUUCGUUUCUGUACCACUAUUCAUCAUAUGUGUGAGACUUGGUCCCAGCACACCUGGUGAUUAUUUUGCACCCGGGUUUUGGACCCCUAAAACCUGGGUGUGACAUAGGAUUACCUAGAAAUACCAACCCUAUUCCUUGAUUACCCUGGGAUAAACACUAUGCUUAGUAAAUGUGCUAUGGCUCAACUUGAUCAUUAUGAUGUCACUCUUUAAUGAUACUUUUGUUUCAGAAAUGAAAUUUGUAUUAUGAUGUUAACCCGAUGGUUAAACAAGAUCAUUUCGUAUUAAAUGUAACAUGGAGUGACCACCUAGGAUAACAGUGCAACCACUAGUGCUAUCAUGGCUCUGGCUUUGGUAAAUAGCUCUAUAAACUUAGUGCUUAGCUACCCUACCUGAAAGAUGGGCAAGAGGGGGCGGCAAUGGUUUGGUGGCAGCUCAUGUUAACAUGGGGUGGUAGUCUUGGCUAAGUUACCUCGCCCAAAGGGUCACCAAUACUGACGUGGAAACCUUAGCGGGUGGCUUUGUACUAUGGAUAUUUUAUGAAAGCCUCAUAAUGGAUCCCUAGCUUUUCACCUCGGCAGUGUUAACGGGUCCGUACAACCCAGGCUAGAUGGGAUACAUGGCUUCUGGGUAAAGUUGUACCAUCUCUAUAGAGUGUAAAACUGAUAUGUCACCCGUGCUCACGGUUAAGAGCAACCUAGACCCUCACAUGAUAACUGAACUUAAAGAUGGAGAAUAAAUUGUGAUCCGAUGGUUUAUAAAUGGUUUGCUUAAGUGGUUUCACUUAAGUGUUUUUGAUAUAAUCAUAUGCUUAUAAUUAAUUGGGAAUUUUUGGGAUACACUUACAAUUAGUAAGUUAGGCGUUGUUAAUAAAUUAUUAACCAUAACCUACCUUGUUUACCUUGCAUAACUCCUCCCACUUGCUGAGCCCCCACCAUAAGUGACCUCACUCCUUGCUAGAUUUUUUAUCAGAAGCUGAUGAGGAAGACUGUGACGAUGGUGAUGACAAGUACUGAGUCUAGCGAUGCGCCAGUCAUCUUCCCAUGGAAGAUUACCCUUGCUAUUUCUGAUGUACUUUGAUAAUGAUACUAUUUAAGACUUUUAUGUCUGGAUGAUGUAAUAAAGUUAUUAUACUCUUUUUACACCAUUAUUGCAUUGUCUUUUGAUAUAUUACACUUGUGACGUCAACAUAUGUGUGGAAAAUGGAUCCUGGCACACAUAUGAUAUGCAUUUGGUUUUGCCCCUA